CCCCAGCAGUUUUUCAUGUUUCUUCUCUUGCCUUCAGAGAAGUUCUUUUGCACAGUGUUUGGUGUGCACUGAAAUGUUUACGUGAAUUGGAAGGUUGUUCAACAUCCCAGGGGACACCAAAGAAGGUGACUUUAUUGCAGGAGUGUGCCUGAAAUGAGGAUGUUAAAACCAAAUCAAUAAGGAUAUAUUGCUCAAUAUUAAUAAGGAUCCAGGCUUCUGCCAGCACACAGAGGGGAAGGAGGACUCUGCAGGCAGAAUAAAAUUGAGAGUAUGAGACAGAUCAACCAGCAACUGCUAUUUGACACGCUCUGUCCACUGGCCUAGUUUAUUAUACCUGGAAUGAAACAACUAAAGCACUAGAGAUGAAUAUGUCUCAGUUUUCUGUAAAAUGAACUCCUGGGUUUUGCUGGUAGUGGCUGUUGGUUUUCAUAUGAAAUUAGUAGUGUCUCAUUAAAUGAAAGGCAAUUAUAUGUAUUAGCAAUAAUGAUAGAAUCAUACAAAAAAAAAAAGUCAACCAAAAAAAUAUCCCCCAUGGAUGUAAUUUUAGAAAUGCAUUAUGCAAGGGUUAAUUUGUGAGCUGGGUUUUUUUUUCUUCCCCCACGUUUUGAAAGCUUUGCUGUAAUUUUGUAUGAAAUUUGAGAUCAGUGAGUCUAUAAUAUCUAAUGAAUAAUUUACUACGCCAACAGUCUUUCUGUGGAAGAAUACUAAAUUAAUUAAGGCCUGGAGGAAUUUCCAUGUGUUUAAGCCACAUUAUAUCUUCAAGGUUUUACUGCUUCAAAGUCACUGAGAUGAACUCCUGGCUUUUCAGGUGUUAACAGUCCCAGGAAAACAAGAUUGAUGCCCUUGCUUUAGCCUAGAAAAACUAAAGGGCUUCAGCGUGUGUUUUGUGUGAAUCUAUUAAAAGGAUAGUUCUUUGCA